rnacentral:lncRNA from 1 species
GAAUGUCCACACAUCCCUGGAGCUCACGUCCUCAGGUCCCUCUGGUCCUGGGUGCCUCCUUGAGGGCCUCUCUGCCUUAUUCCUGUCCCUGCACUGGCUGCCCCCUCCUCCUGCACCUGCCCUUUUUUUGGUGGCCACGUAAAACCAGUGUCGGGAGAAAGACCUUUCCUCUUCCAACUUGUGUCCAGCGGUUGGGGGCCUGCAAAUUAGCUGAGGAAAGACAGACUAAGAAGAGAAAAGGCAAAGUUUGUUUUCACACGUGCAAGCAGGGGCUCCCACUAGUGGAAAAGCUCACAGAACAGCUCAAAGUAAAGGUUAAUAUAUAUGGACUUAGCCAAAGGGGCGUUUUCAGGGCUUCAUGGGAGAGCGUGGGAGGUUUUCAGGCUUGGUGAUGCUCACCGGAAUGGGCAGUCUGUAUUCUUGGCAGCUGAAUUUGCGGGAAACUCCCUCAGAGUGGGGUCAGGGCAGCCGUAUUUGGGGAAGCUCUGCUUUAGUCAGAUAAGUGAGCUUCAGCUAAGAUUUCUUUCUGCAUCUUCUGUAGCUCAAGUGUUUUCACUUUAAAAUAAUCUUUAUACCAACUCUAGGGGUCCGAGAGGGUCACCACACCACUCACAAAGCUUUUGGGGGUAUGGCAGGUUUUACUGAUCAUUUCAGAGACCAGUGGAGUUUACCUCACAGAAAGGCAGAGAACCUAAACUUGAGCAUUAGAAUUUCCUGCCCCUAGAAACUCCCUUGGCCACUUUUGCCAAAUAGAGUGCAGCUCCCAUGGGCAGCUCUCCCUCGCCCUCUGUUUUGCCCAUACUCACAGCCCUAUUGGGGCUGGCCUGGUGGCACAGUGGUUAAGCUCGUGUGCUCCGCUUCAGUGGCCUGGGGUUCACAGGUUUGGAUCCCGGGUUUCAGACCACCUUGCCCCCCACCCUAUAAAUAUCCUGGGUCCCCAUUUCCAGGAGGCAGAUUUGAGACUCAUUCUCUCGCUUCCUCACGUGGCUGCCUGAUGUGAAGGUGUCAUGGGGGACUUCUGAGAUUACUUGAAAGAAGCUCACUUGACUCGCAGUCUCGUCCCGUCUCCCCCUCCCCUUCCUCCUGUUCACCGACUGGACAGACACGUGAUGCCCGACUCCACUGCCAUCUUGGAUCCUGAGGUGAUGGGAAGGGCGGCAGUCACGUGCACUGGAGCAGAAAGAUGGGAGCCGUCUGGAUCCUUGAUAACUUGGUGGGGCUCAGUACCUGCCCUGGACACCCACCUGGACUGCUUCAUGGGAGAAGAAAAACAAACGCAGAAAACAGAAUGCGCUGUGUCUAAGCCACUUUGAAUCUGUUGAGCCAGGGGGCUGGAAGGAGUUCUGAUACAUUCUCCUCCCCAUUAGGAAGCUGAGGAUCUUCUCCCACCCCAAAUCUGCUCUUCCUGUGUGUCCUGCCACAGUAGCAGGCACACUCCUUUCUCCUACUCCCUCCUUGGCUCACCCCUUGUCCAGGCCCAAAACCAGGGCGUCACCUUCAAUGCCCUCAUCCCUCCUUAUACCCAGCCAGCAAUCCAAUCCUGUCGUUCCUUCCUCCUCACUGACCGCAGGAUCCACACUUGACCUCUAGGCCCCCAUUCAGCCACCGUAAAUGAUCACCCUACAACCACCCAGAGACCUUGGGGUCCCCGGGGGCUCCGAAACCACAGAAUGCUGGCCGCUCUCGUGGGAGCUAGCCCUGGCUUGCCUGAGACGAAAGGGGAGGGGGCAGGUGAGGGCGCCUGGAGGCUGGUCGGAGGGAGGAAGAGCCCCUGAAGGGACGUUGAGGCCCCUAGGACGUGCCCUGUCUGCCCCCCACUACUUCUUCCAGGGCCAGCUGGGAUGGCGUGAUGGGCAAGGGAAAACCCAGGGCAAACCUUGACAUUAAUCUGCUGCAGCCAUCCCUUCCUGGGGACUGGCCUCAUUUCCUCCAAAAUCAUUUCUAGCCACUUCUUCUUGGGGAGAUUUAAUUAUCAACUCACAGGCUGAGUGUGUGGAGCGCAGGAAGGGGCAGUCAGAGCCCCAGGCACCCCUGGGUUUAGUCUUCCAUCCACUAAGCACCUGCCAUGUCCUGGCCCAGUGCUGGGAGCCUCCAACAUUCUUUGGGGAGAGUUUUUCAUGCCUGUUUUAUAGGUGAGACCCUGGGACUCAGAGUGGUGAAGUGACUUGCCCAGGGCAGCACAGCCCAAAAGGAAUGGGCCUGGCAUUGGCUCUGGGUCCAUCCUUCUCCAAAUUCCCAUUCUUUCCCUGUUCACGGAUUAUCCUCAGCCUGGAGGAGUAGCUCUAUCACCUGCAGAGCUACUAACAAUUCUGAUUCCAGGGCCCAACCCCAGAAAUCCUACUUCAGCUGCUGUGGGCUGGAGUGGGGGAGUUGGUUUUUCAAGGUGCCCCAGUCCCCAGGCAGUCGUGGUGCUCAGCAGGUCUAGGGCUGGCCCUGCACUGCACCUUGCUGCCUCUCAGUGAGGGGAGCUGCCGCUGAGCCUGCUGAAAAGAGCCGGGGCCAGGAGACAGCUGUGUCCCUUUGCUGUUCCUACCCCAUACUGGCUUCAGGGAUUGUGGCUUUGAAUUUUUUGUGCAUUUAACCAAAUCUAGUCAUUCUUCCCAUCCAAUCUGCACAGAGAUGUCAAGUUAAGCUGCUGUGCUCAGCCUCUGCCCUUGUCAGGCCCUGUUGGAACAUUUUCUCAGGCUCCUCCCCAUCCAGGGGGUGCCGGUGAAGCUCCUGGCCCCAGGGUGGUCUGGCCUGACCUCCUGCUCUGCCUUCUCUCCAGCUGGUCUCCUUCUCAAAGCCCUUGGACCUUGGCUUGUGCUUCCUCUUUCUUUCCCUCCCUGAUCUGGAACACCCCCUCGAUCCCCGCCUCACUCUCCAGAACCUACCCCAGCUUUAAAUAUCCCUUCCUCCAGGGAGCACUCCUUGACUGGCCUGGUCCACAGUCCUUCCUGGAACACUUGCUGUUGUUCAUGUCCCCUCCUCUGCUGUGGCCUGCAACCUCCACAUGUCUGUGUCCUAACAACACAAGCAGAGGUCACUUCUCAAGGUCAUUGGUACGCUCUUGAAUCUCUUCUUGACUCUGCACCCACACUCCCCGGCUGUGCCCCAGCCCUGGAUUGUCCUAACAAUGCCCUUUGACCUUCUUCCCCUGCCCUCAAAACUGACCUGCCCCGUGGCCCUUUACUCUGCUAUGAAACUGUGAGCCAGUCUGUAAUAAUUUAGUUGUGCUAUUUAAUUUUUCAUUUUAUUAGCAGAGGAGCUAUAUUUUAUGGAGCAUCCGCCCUUUGCUAGGUGUUUUGCCUCAGUUAGCAUAUUCAUCCCCCAAAAUUCUCCAAGGUAGGUGUCUUACCCGUUUUUACCAACAUGGAAACUAACAUUCAGGGAAUGAUACCCCCAAGGCCGCACAGCCAGUGAGUGAUGGAGCAGGGCGUGAGGUCUAGGCAGGACGUCUUCAUUCAUUUUCUUGGCACACGCUCCUCCUUUCUUGCUCUGCAGUCAACAGUCACUAGAUGGCCUGAGAGGCAGCCGGGAGCCUGGCUCUCCUGGAUGGAAGGUUGAGGGAGGGGGCGGGGAUGCUGAGCCUGCAGUGCCCACAUUCACCACUAGGAGGCAGGCGGGGGAAGGAAAUGGCACAUUAUCUUCCUGGGAAGGCCACAGCAGCUCAUUGAUUAUUUAGUUAUUCUGAACGUUGCAAGUUUCAAAAUGCGCAGUUGAAAUCUUCCUUACAUAUGUUGAAGCACCAUAGUCCAAGCAGAACUGUAAUCUUUUUUGUUAACUAACGUAAAGGCAUCAGCAUGGUUGAUAGAAAGAACAGAAUCUCACUCUAACUUCCUGGCUUGAGCAACGAAGAGAAUCACACCACCAAUGACCUCCUGUGUGCCAGGGGCUUUCCAUGCUUUAUCUCGUUUAAUCUCCUCAUCUUUGAGAGGUUCCCAGAGGUGAAGUAAACUUUCCCAAGUUUACACGGCAGAGCCAGGAUUUCGAUCUCAAUUGAUCUGACUUCAAAGUUUCUUGGCCUCUCCAAGCCUCAACAGCCUCAUCUGUUAAAUGGGCAUAAUCACAACAAUACCUAUCCCAGUGUUGAGUAAGACAAUGUACACGAAGUGCCGCAGAGGCACGGAUGUGGAGUGCGACAGUGGGCAAAGUAGAAGACGCUGGUUGCCUGAGGUCCGUCACAUGGCGAAUUCUAAAACAGGUCCCCAAGCACAGUCUCCCUUUUGCAGCACCAACAGCAUUAUAAAUUCUGAUGGCAGGUGUUUUCAUAUCUGAUUUACACAGAGAAACUGAGGCCCAGAAAGGGGAAGAGAUUUGGCUGAACUCUGAAUUUGUGGUAUUCCUUGAUUAUCGUUGAUUGGCAUACUCGACAUUUAUUGAAGGCCUACCACGAAUCAGGCCUGUGCUAGACAGUGAACUGCCUGAGAACAGAGACUGGAGCACAAGAGACUCAGCGAACGUUUGCUGAGUAAAGCAGUGCUGCCCACAGUGGGAGUGGCGCCUCAGGGUUUGUGCAAGACGAUCCUCUGGGAUGCAGGAGGACAAUUUUAGAACUUCCAUUUGCAUUUAAUUUUUAACUAAACAACAAGAACAUAAUUAAUCAUCCCCUGAUAUUUAAGAUCCAGAUUGAUAUAUUGGCUAGCCCUGCAUCGCUCCUGGUACGGGAGGCAUCCUGAGAGAAGGAUGAGUGUUCCCAGCUGUAGAUGGCUCCUGGGGCUUCCUCUCUUGUU